CCAGGGGAAGAUAACUGUGAUGGAAACCAGCACCAACACGUUUCGCGAAGGCUUCCCCCUUCCUCUCAACCCGUGGAAACUUUUACCCACCGCUGAGUGUUCCUGUGACGCUGUACUGGAGCUAAUGCGGCGUUUGGGCUGAUUUUCAACGACAAGGCUGACCUAAGCAGAUUUUUUCAACAAUUUUUUUGAGGUUAAUUACGUUUGCGAACACUGUUUUGCCUCGGCGGUCCGACUUCUCCGGAGGUCGGGCCUCUGGGUGAAGGUGUGUUGUUUGUUUUGAGUCCACACACACAUACAGCAGGCACUCUGUUGCUGACUGUCUCGCCUCUGCUUUCGACGUUUUCGACCUAUUCAUUUGGCGCAACUCGACUUACGCAUGAGCACCGUUGCCACGUAUUAUUAUUCGCGAAGUUUGCUAACCACUCUGAAUCAUCCGUACGUCCCCUUGGCGAGGUACUGGCUCAGCGAGAGAAGCCGCCGUUCGAUUCGAAUAAUCUUAAGCGAUCGAUUGCUCUCGGUCUGUUAAAUUUUUUAUACCAGAAUGUGGCCAAUUUUGAUCAAUUUUCUUCCAAAAGCGAUAGUUUUUUUGCGGAUCGGACCUGAAGAUCAGACUGAACCGCCUGAGAUGUUUCUGAGCUCUUUGGUUCUCCAAGGAAUUGAGGGGAGAAGACAUCAGUUGGGACUCCAAAUCUUUGCUGUGACUUGAGGACCGAUAAAGUCGCUGGAUUGACGACUGAAAUAUCUGGAUAUUCCCGGGGGCACGUGUUUGGACCCGUGGAUUUUCCGGCGCGAGAAUCUCUUGAUAAACACAAAUGUUUCUUGGUAGGAGGUAGACGUGGCAACGCUGCAGGAGUCGUUGGAAAUAGCACGAGUCGUUCGGCAUGAGACUUUCGCCGUGGGUUCAAUAUCGCAUCUUUUUUAAGGACAGAAGGAGAGAAAAAUACCGAAAUCUCUCGCCCAAUUUUCUAAACAUUUUUUUAUCCAUUGUACUAUUCAGUGGAGAUAGGACAGAUAUUGGGAAAUAGUCUUUGGGGUCGAUGUCUGAUGGACAAAAACUCGGUUGAGAACCGUUAAAAGGAGAUGAAUAUUCAAUUGAAGGAACAGGUGAAUGAGAGUCUGCAGUGGGAGUCUGUGAACAAACUGGAAAAUGGCGACUGAAAUAUGCAAACAAUUUGGGGAAUCAAUGAGAUUGUGGAUAAAAAAAAAAAUCUUGGGAGGCAAUUUCUGUCGUUGACUCAGUAUAUUGGCUAUUGGAAAUCUGCAUGACAGGAAUGAACUCCUCCCACUGCUGCACUAGACCCAGGGAAUUGUUGUUAAUUAGGGAAAAUUGAUGUCUCAUUAUUAAAUCGCAGUUUGAAGCCAGAAUUCUGGAUUCUGAUAAUGGAUAUUCAUAGAUGUACUUUGUUCCUGUCAAGAAUCGCACUUUCGUGACUGUCCAACUGUAAUUUUCCAUGGAUGAAUCACGUAUACCGACAAAUGUAAAUGCAGAUUACUUGAGCAACCCCAGGCCAACUGGGCAAAUAAUUCUGGGAAGGUCUGUGCAGGCUCAAACCUGUCGACUGACACAUCGCUCAGACCCACCCAACGACAACGAAGGCCUCACACGAUGUCAUUUAUUUUUCAUAAAUUACACAAUCGCCAAUUUGUUCUCGAUUUUUGCAUUGGCGAGAUUGUUUCUUAGCGUGGGACCUUGUUUAUCGCUCACGGGGGGUGAAUUAUCAACUUAUUUUGGGUUUUCUCGAAAGGUAUCAGACAAUUGAUAUUUUCAAUGCAGCACUGGUUCGCCAUCUGGUUUCUUCUUGCGGCGAGGGUGACGUGGACUAUUUGAAGAUGGCACCAGCUGCCGGAGUGGAACGAUUCUUCGAGAUACGAAAUUUUAUUUCACAAAGUGAAUAAAUAAAUUAUUUCUCAAAGUCCCCAGGUUUAUUGACCUUUAUGUUAUUUCCAAGUGAAUGAGAAGAGAAUUUUGCAGUCAAAAUUGUCUUUUCCGAGA